UGGCUCAGUGGAUAGAGCGUUGGCCUGCGGACCUAAGGGUCCCAGGUUCGAUUCCUGA
rnacentral:tRNA from 1 species